rnacentral:rRNA from 1 species
AUGGCAAUGCCCACCUUCCACCUCGCCCCCGACCUGCCGCCCGUGUCCCGCCUCUGCCUCGGGACCAUGACGAUGGGGGAGCAAAGCGGGCCGCCGGAAUCGCUCCGCCUCCUCGACGCCGCCUUCGACGCCGGCGUCAACUUCUUCGACUCCGCCGAGAUGUACCCGGUGCCGCAGCGCGCGGAAACGCACGGGCGCAGCGAGGAGCUCGUCGGCCGGUGGCUGCGGGCCCGGCGGGUCCCCCGCGACAGCGUGGUGCUCGCCACCAAGGUCGCCGGGCCGUCUGGUCAGAUGACGUGGAUCCGUGGCGGGCCGGUGGCUCUCGACUCCAGGAACAUCACGGAAGCAAUCGAUACCAGUUUGCGCCGAUUGGGUGUGGAUUACAUCGACCUCUACCAGAUACAUUGGCCCGAUCGUUAUGUUCCUAUGUUUGGAGAGACGGACUACGAUCCGAGCCGUCAGUACGCGUCUAUACCCAUGGAAGAACAGCUAGAGGCGCUUGGAAAAGGCGUAGAGGCUGGAAAGAUCAGGUACAUUGGCCUUAGCAACGAAACAGCAUAUGGGUUGAUGAAGUUCCUUCAGCUGAGUAGGGAUUUUCAGCUGCGCUCCAAGAUACUAACAGUCCAAAACUCGUAUAACCUGCUGUGUCGCAAUUUUGAUGCUGGGUUGGCGGAAUGUUGCCAUCACGAGAGAAUCAGUUUGCUGGCCUACAGCCCAAUGGCAAUGGGUAUACUUUCAGGGAAGUAUCACUCAUCUGAUGACAGCGGACCGCCAGAUGCAAGGAUGAAUCUUUUCAAAGGAAGAUACUCCGAGGGUGAAUCCAGAUACAAUCUGCAGAACCCCAAGCUGGAAUCGGCAGUGAAGGAAUAUAGAAGAAUUGGCGUCAAGUAUGGCAUUUUGCCAUCAAUCCUAGCAGUUGCAUUUGUACUGAGACACCCCCUCGUGGGCUCAGCUGUUUUCGGUGCUACUAAAUUAUGGCAGCUCAAGGAAGUUCUUCAGGCCACAAGGGUCCAUCUCUGUGAAGAAAUUUUGGCGGAGAUCAAUGAUGUACAUGCAAGAUUUCCCGAUCCUUGUCCAUAA